rnacentral:rRNA from 1 species
AACGAACGCUGGCGGCAGGCUUAACACAUGCAAGUCGAGCGCCCCGCAAGGGGAGCGGCCGACGGGUGAGCAACGCGUGGGAAUCUACCCACCUCUACGGAAUAACGCACGGAAACGUGUGCUAAUACCGUAUACGUCCUUCGGGAGAAAGAUUUAUGGGAGAUGGAUGAGCCCGCGUUGUAUUAGCUAGUUGGUGGGGUAAAGGCCUACCAAGGCUACGAUCCAUAGCUGGUCUGAGAGGAUGAUCAGCCACACUGGGACUGAGACACGGCCCAGACUCCUACGGGAGGCAGCAGUGGGGAAUAUUGGACAUGGGCGCAAGCCUGAUCCAGCCAUGCCGCGUGAGUGAUGAAGGCCCUAGGGUUGUAAAGCUCUUUCACCGGUGAAGAUAAUGACUGUAACCGGAGAAGAAGCCCCGGCUAACUUCGUGCCAGCCGCCGCGGUAACAC